AGAGUUUGAUCCUGGCUCAGGAUGAACGCUAGCGGCAGGCUUAAUACAUGCAAGUCGAACGGGAUUCGGGGUAGCAAUACUUUGAUGAGAGUGGCGCACGGGUGCGUAACGCGUAUGCAACCUACCUUUAACAGGGGAAUAGCCCCGAGAAAUCGGGAUUAAUACUCCGUAACAUUGCGGUGUGGCAUCACACUGCAAUUAAAGAUUUAUCGGUUAAAGAUGGGCAUGCGUGACAUUAGCUAGUUGGUGAGGUAACGGCUCACCAAGGCAACGAUGUCUAGGGGUCCUGAGAGGGUUAUCCCCCACACUGGUACUGAGACACGGACCAGACUCCUACGGGAGGCAGCAGUAAGGAAUAUUGGUCAAUGGGCGCAAGCCUGAACCAGCCAUGCCGCGUGCAGGAAGACGGCCCUAUGGGUUGUAAACUGCUUUUAUCAGGGAAUAAACCCCCGCUCGUGAGCGGGGCUGAAGGUACCUGAAGAAUAAGCAUCGGCUAACUCCGUGCCAGCAGCCGCGGUAAUACGGAGGAUGCAAGCGUUAUCCGGAUUCAUUGGGUUUAAAGGGUGCGCAGGCGGAUUGGUAAGUCAGGGGUGAAAUCCCACAGCUCAACUGUGGAACUGCCUUUGAUACUGUCAGUCUAGAGUAUAGUUGAAGUUGGCGGAAUGUGUCAUGUAGCGGUGAAAUGCUUAGAUAUGACACAGGAACACCGAUCGCGAAGGCAGCUAGCUAAGCUAUAACUGACGCUCAUGCACGGAAAGCGUGGGGAUCAAACAGGAUUAGAUACCCUGGUA
rnacentral:rRNA from 1 species